GCAUAUUGAGGAGUGCAGAUUCAUCAUGUCACAAGAGGGAUCUGCCCAGUGUCCAAGAUGAUAUUUGAGAUUGAGGCUUCAGGUGCCAGCCCUAAUAAAGGCCACAGCCUUGGAAUCAGGAUGAAGCUGGAGCCUGAGGGAGCCAGGCACACUCAGGAGAGGGCAAGUAGCUGACUUGCUGGGAUUUGGCCCACAUAACUCUGAACUCAUACUUUGGUUUUGGUUUUCUUUA